UGAACUCCUGGUUAUCUCUCCUGUCCCUAAACCCUCCCUCUCUGUAUCAUGUGAUCCUGAGAUGACCUACUGUAACCUCACCUGUCAUGGCAGCACCACAGAUGCUGAACCAGUCACCUACUGGUGGACAGCAGGUGAAAAGAGGUGGAAUUCAACCAAUGAGCACAAAAUAACAAAGAAAGAUAAGGAGUGGUGGUUCAGCUGUGAACUUAAAAACCCAGUCAGC